UACGUAGGGGGCUAGCGUUGUCCGGAAUCAUUGGGCGUAAAGCGCGCGUAGGCGGCCAGAUAAGUCCGGUGUGAAAGUCACAGGCUCAACCUGUGAAUGCCGCUGGAAACUGUCUGGCUUGAGUCCGGAAGGGGCGAGUGGAAUUCCUGGUGUAGCGGUGAAAAUGCGCAGAUAUCAGGAGGAACACCAAUAGCGAAGGCAGCUCACUGGGACGGUAUUGACGCUGAGACGCGAAAGCGUGGGGAGCAAACAGG
rnacentral:rRNA from 1 species